rnacentral:rRNA from 1 species
GACGAACGCUGGCGGCGUGCCUAAUACAUGCAAGUAGAACGCUGAAGAGAGGAGCUUGCUCUUCUUGGAUGAGUUGCGAACGGGUGAGUAACGCGUAGGUAACCUGCCUGGUAGCGGGGGAUAACUAUUGGAAACGAUAGCUAAUACCGCAUAAAAUGGAUUAUCGCAUGAUAAUCCAUUGAAAGGUGCAAAUGCAUCACUACCAGAUGGACCUGCGUUGUAUUAGCUAGUUGGUGGGGUAACGGCUCACCAAGGCGACGAUACAUAGCCGACCUGAGAGGGUGAUCGGCCACACUGGGACUGGGACACGGCCCAGACUCCUACGGGAGGCAGCAGUAGGGGAUCUUCGGCAAUGGACGGAAGUCUGACCGAGCAACGCCGCGUGAGUGAAGAAGGUUUUCGGAUCGUAAAGCUCUGUUGUAAGAGAAGAACGAGUGUGAGAGUGGAAAGUUCACACUGUGACGGUAUCUUACCAGAAAGGGACGGCUAACUACGUG